rnacentral:rRNA from 1 species
UGAGACACGGUCCCAGACUCUACGGGGAGGCAGCAGUGGGGGAAUAUUGCACAAUGGGCGCAAGCAUGAUGCAGCGACGCCGCGUGAGGGAUGACGGCUUUCGGGGUUGUAAACCUCUUUCAGUAGGGAAGAAGCGAAAGUGACGGUACCUGCAGAAGAAGCGCCGGCUAACUACGUGCCAGCAGCCGCGGUAAUACGUAGGGCGCAAGCGUUAUCCGGAAUUAUUGGGCGUAAAGAGCUCGUAGGCGGUUUGUCGCGUCUGCCGUGAAAGUCCGGGGCUCAACUCCGGAUCUGCGGUGGGUACGGGCAGACUAGAGUGAUGUAGGGGAGACUGGAAUUCCUGGUGUAGCGGUGAAAUGCGCAGAUAUCAGGAGGAACACCGAUGGCGAAGGCAGGUCUCUGGGCAUUAACUGACGCUGAGGAGCGAAAGCAUGGGGAGCGAACAGGAUUAGAUACCCUGGUAGUCCAUGCCGUAAACGUUGGGCACUAGGUGUGGGGGACAUUCCACGUUUUCCGCGCCGUAGCUAACGCAUUAAGUGCCCCGCCUGGGGAGUACGGCCGCAAGGCUAAAACUCAAAGGAAUUGACGGGGGCCCGCACAAGCGGCGGAGCAUGCGGAUUAAUUCGAUGCAACGCGAAGAACCUUACCAAGGCUUGACAUGAACCGGAAACGCCUGGAGACAGGUGCCCCGCUUGCGGUCGGUUUACUAAGGUGGUGCAUGGUGUCGUCAAGCUCGUGUC